UGUUCGUUAGUAGUCACUGAAAACUUUGUAAAGCUAGAGCUAGCGCUGCGCAAAGAAAUGGCCCCCAAACUCGCCACAUUUUGCAUUUUCGCCUUUCUCUUUCUAAGCUUGGAGAGUAAGAAGUCUGUAGCGACAAAGAAAACCCAUAAGGAAAUCUUGAGCGUGCAAAAACUCCUCGAUGAAUUGAUCCUACGGCUUUCAUUGAACUUGAAACUACAGGAAGGAGAAAGCCAUGACCGCCGCAGCAGCCCAAAAAGACGCAACAGAGCAACAAAAAACCGUUGCCGAAGAUUUGACAAAAGUGUACAAGAAAUGGCCCCCAAACUCGCCACAUUUUGCAUUUUCGCCUUUCUCUUUCUAAGCUUGGAGAGUAAGAAGUCUGUAGCGACAAAGAAAACCCAUAAGGAAAUCUUGAGCGUGCAAAAACUCCUCGAUGAAUUGAUCCUACGGCUUUCAUUGAACUUGAAACUACAGGAAGGAGAAAGCCAUGACCGCCGCAGCAGCCCAAAAGGACGCAACAGAGCAACAAAAAACCGUUGCCGAAGAUUUGACAAAAGUGUACAAGAUCCAUUCACUUCUGGGUCAACUUUCUGGCACCCACAAUGCAAGUGCUCCUUGCGAUCAUCAUUUCUCUAUUGUAGAUUUUGUGGGAAAGCGGCCAGUAAGACUUCAUGCCGUCUCCGAUCUUCCAGCAAAUUCCACAGUCUCCUUUGACGGUGAGCAAACAAAUAAUUGUCUAUGGAUCAAUACAAAACGAAAUUUGACGGGCUGUAUAAAACUCAGAAUAGGGGGGGAGGUAUCUGUUUUUAGUCUGUUUUUUGUAAAUUCAGCUCCAAAAAAGCCAGGAGUCAAUGGGUUAAGUCAAGCCAAUGGCAACGAGUUGCGCGUGUUCUAUCAGUCCCAAGCUUCAGAAGAGCCCGUCCAAAUCGACCGCGUCGUCAGUGGAUUGGGUACUACUAACGCAACAGUCUCGUUCAAGCUCCAAGCCCCGUUGCCAAGCAACGCUGUCAAUCAAAACAAGUACGCUCUUGUGUUUGGUAGCAAAUCCGCUGGCCGAGCUAAUAGCAACCCUGAUGACUUCUCAGAUAGUAAUUUGGACCGGAAGUGGAAGAUGAACAACUUUGGGCAGUGGAGCGUGAACAGUGGAAAAUUGUUCGGCGUGACCGGAAUUACGCCGACUGGUGAUGCUGCGGAAAUCGGUAUUUAUGCGAAGGAUGGCUUUGGAUGGGAAGAUUAUGAGUUCGAUCUUGAUUUUUUGGGGGCAACAUCUGCACCAGUUGAGUACCCAGGGCCAUUCCUUCGAGUGCGAGAUCUCUCAACUAGAAGCACAUCAGCCUGGUGGUUCGAGUACAAAAGCAACCAUAAAGAUUGUACGAUGAGGCCUUACCAGAACAAUAAAGACGGUAGUUGGGCUUACAAGGGCACCCUCCCCACCCCCCUUACCGCGAAGUGGUUCCACUUCCGGUAUCGAGUACAAGGACAGUCGAUCUCGCGGAUGGUCACGUGAUUCACGAUAACUUAGCCGUUGCAAGUCAAUGGAAAAUUAAACAAGGAUCCCUUGGCUUUGGCUGUCACAACAAGUUCACCCUAGGCUGCCGUUCGUUCUACGACAACAUUCGCAUUCGGCUGCUCGUCCCCUCCCCACCACGGGUACUUCUUGGCGAUCCCUGCAGGCUUCAGCAUCACGCGCAGAGCUUGCUGGGAAGUCAAGAGAAGCCCGCUGACUCCUGCAAGCAGAUGCAUGAUGCGAGCCUGCUUGACGGGAAGCCUUUGGUAGAAAAUGGCAUGUACUGGGUGAAAACGUACUGCGAUAUGAACAAUGGUGGAUGGACUCUCGUUGGGAAACUGAGCGGAAGUGUGGGAAACAUCUAUGACAAAUGGCUGGUACAAAACAGAAAUGUAAAAGGUCUUAAAUCACCAAGUCUAAGGAAUCCGAAUACUUACUCAUGCCUAGAUGCCCGUGUUCUUGCGGUCCACUUUGCAUCACGGGUAAUGUUCUCCAGUUCCGGUGACGACACUUCCGGUAUUGGUAGCAAGUGGGUAAGCUGGGAGUUGCCAAGGCAGCGUGAAGUGGGUACCCUGUGGAAUCACGCUGUUGGCUACAAUCGGGUGAAAAGUGCGUCAGAGGAACCUGUAACGGUAACCAGCUGGAAUGGGGCAACACAGGUGUGCUACCAAAAUAAAUACGGAAUCAUGCGAUAUCAAGAUCAUGGGGGGUCCUACCCAACAGUGUCAUUUAAUAACCAAGGAAACACAAAAACGAAUGAUUACUGUAUGGCGCUGGGUGUGAUGACCGCGGGCUCAACUGCACAUGGGUGGACCCAGAACCGUAAUGGCUACGACUCGCCCGAGUCUGACGCGGACUGGCCAAACCGAGCAUAUAAUCAUCAGUCGCCUUACGUUACCGUCUGGCUUAAGUAGACUUGUAACGAGUGAUACGUAGAUAAAGUGAAAAACGGACAGAUGUGUUUUCCAAACUGGAUUGACCCUGGGACUACAAUCCAUCCUCGGGGACCCAGGGCGACGCGGAGACCGGAAGUGGGAGUACCCGCGAAGACGAAAGACAAAACUAGACGUAUGUUUCCCCUGUUUGUUUCGUCUUCGCGCCUACUACCACUUCCGGUCUGCGUCGCCUGGGUCGCCGAGCAUCAGCAAUCGAUAGAAAUUAUCAGCCUAAAGAGUGUCUAAUCUAUUUGAAACUUAACUGCUAGUGAUCUAGGCAUCAAGCGUCAUGAUAUAGACAUAUGAUCCUUUAUAAAGCUCACACAGGAUGAAACUCUUGCAGCCCCAGUAACACAAUAAGGAUCACAGCAAAGCGAGGAGAGUCAGCUCAAUUUAAAGAAGUUGGUUAUAUAUAUUGAAA